GGUUAAGCGACUAAGCGUACACGGUGGAUGCCCUGGCAGUCAGAGGCGAUGAAGGACGUGCUAAUCUGCGAAAAGCGUCGGUAAGGUGAUAUGAACCGUUAUAACCGGCGAUGUCCGAAUGGGGAAACCCAGUGUGAUUCGUCACACUAUCGUUAACUGAAUACAUAGGUUAACGAGGCGAACCGGGGGAACUGAAACAUCUAAGUACCCCGAGGAAAAGAAAUCAACCGAGAUUCCCCCAGUAGCGGCGAGCGAACGGGGAGCAGCCCAGAGUCUGAAUCAGCUUGUGUGUUAGUGGAACGGUCUGGAAAGUCCGACGGUACAGGGUGAUAGUCCCGUACACCAAAAUGCACAGGCUGUGAACUCGAAGAGUAGGGCGGGACACGUGGUAUCCUGUCUGAAUAUGGGGGGACCAUCCUCCAAGGCUAAAUACUCCUGACUGACCGAUAGUGAACCAGUACCGUGAGGGAAAGGCGAAAAGAACCCCGGCGAGGGGAGUGAAAAAGAACCUGAAACCGUGUACGUACAAGCAGUGGGAGCACCUUCGGGUGUGACUGCGUACCUUUUGUAUAAUGGGUCAGCGACUUAUAUUCUGUAGCAAGGUUAACCGUAUAGGGGAGCCGCAGGGAAACCGAGUCUUAACUGGGCGUUAAGUUGCAGGGUAUAGACCCGAAACCCGGUGAUCUAGCCAUGGGCAGGUUGAAGGUUGGGUAACACUAACUGGAGGACCGAACCGACUAAUGUUGAAAAAUUAGCGGAUGACUUGUGGCUGGGGGUGAAAGGCCAAUCAAACCGGGAGAUAGCUGGUUCUCCCCGAAAGCUAUUUAGGUAGCGCCUCGUGAAUUCAUCUUCGGGGGUAGAGCACUGUUUCGGCUAGGGGGUCAUCCCGACUUACCAACCCGAUGCAAACUACGAAUACCGAAGAAUGUUAUCACGGGAGACACACGGCGGGUGCUAACGUCCGUCGUGAAGAGGGAAACAACCCAGACCGCCAGCUAAGGUCCCAAAGUCAUGGUUAAGUGGGAAACGAUGUGGGAAGGCACAGACAGCCAGGAUGUUGGCUUAGAAGCAGCCAUCAUUUAAAGAAAGCGUAAUAGCUCACUGGUCGAGUCGGCCUGCGCGGAAGAUGUAACGGGGCUAAACCAUGCACCGAAGCUGCGGCAGCGACACUAUGUGUUGUUGGGUAGGGGAGCGUUCUGUAAGCCUGCGAAGGUGUGCUGUGAGGCAUGCUGGAGGUAUCAGAAGUGCGAAUGCUGACAUAAGUAACGAUAAAGCGGGUGAAAAGCCCGCUCGCCGGAAGACCAAGGGUUCCUGUCCAACGUUAAUCGGGGCAGGGUGAGUCGACCCCUAAGGCGAGGCCGAAAGGCGUAGUCGAUGGGAAACAGGUUAAUAUUCCUGUACUUGGUGUUACUGCGAAGGGGGGACGGAGAAGGCUAUGUUAGCCGGGCGACGGUUGUCCCGGUUUAAGCAUGUAGGCUGGUUGUCCAGGCAAAUCCGGAUAAUCAAGGCUGAGGUGUGAUGACGAGGCACUACGGUGCUGAAGUAACAAAUGCCCUGCUUCCAGGAAAAGCCUCUAAGCAUCAGGUAACAUCAAAUCGUACCCCAAACCGACACAGGUGGUCAGGUAGAGAAUACCAAGGCGCUUGAGAGAACUCGGGUGAAGGAACUAGGCAAAAUGGUGCCGUAACUUCGGGAGAAGGCACGCUGGUGUGUAGGUGAAGUCCCUGCGGAUGGAGCUGAGACCAGUCGAAGAUACCAGCUGGCUGCAACUGUUUAUUAAAAACACAGCACUGUGCAAACACGAAAGUGGACGUAUACGGUGUGACGCCUGCCCGGUGCCGGAAGGUUAAUUGAUGGGGUUAUCCGUAAGGAGAAGCUCUUGAUCGAAGCCCCGGUAAACGGCGGCCGUAACUAUAACGGUCCUAAGGUAGCGAAAUUCCUUGUCGGGUAAGUUCCGACCUGCACGAAUGGCGUAAUGAUGGCCAGGCUGUCUCCACCCGAGACUCAGUGAAAUUGAACUCGCUGUGAAGAUGCAGUGUACCCGCGGCAAGACGGAAAGACCCCGUGAACCUUUACUAUAGCUUGACACUGAACAUUGAGCCUUGAUGUGUAGGAUAGGUGGGAGGCUUUGAAGCGUGGACGCCAGUCUGCGUGGAGCCAACCUUGAAAUACCACCCUUUAAUGUUUGAUGUUCUAACGUUGGCCCCUUACCGGGGUUGCGGACAGUGUCUGGUGGGUAGUUUGACUGGGGCGGUCUCCUCCCAAAGCGUAACGGAGGAGCACGAAGGUUAGCUAAUCCUGGUCGGACAUCAGGAGGUUAGUGCAAUGGCAUAAGCUAGCUUGACUGCGAGCGUGACGGCGCGAGCAGGUGCGAAAGCAGGUCAUAGUGAUCCGGUGGUUCUGAAUGGAAGGGCCAUCGCUCAACGGAUAAAAGGUACUCCGGGGAUAACAGGCUGAUACCGCCCAAGAGUUCAUAUCGACGGCGGUGUUUGGCACCUCGAUGUCGGCUCAUCACAUCCUGGGGCUGAAGUAGGUCCCAAGGGUAUGGCUGUUCGCCAUUUAAAGUGGUACGCGAGCUGGGUUUAGAACGUCGUGAGACAGUUCGGUCCCUAUCUGCCGUGGGCGCUGGAGAAUUGAGGGGGGCUGCUCCUAGUACGAGAGGACCGGAGUGGACGCAUCACUGGUGUUCGGGUUGUCAUGCCAAUGGCACUGCCCGGUAGCUAAAUGCGGAAGAGAUAAGUGCUGAAAGCAUCUAAGCACGAAACUUGCCCCGAGAUGAGUUCUCCCUGAGACUUUAAGUCUCCUGAAGGAACGUUAAAGACGAUGACGUUGAUAGGCCGGGUGUGUAAGCGCAGCGAUGCGUUGAGCUAACCGGUACUAAUGAACCGUGAGGCUUAACCUU
rnacentral:rRNA from 2 species